UAUUUUAUUCAGAACAUCUUAAUGGAUUGAGCAACAAGCAAUACUUUAAGUAUCCUCUCUCUGAAAAGAACGUCAAGGUUGUGAAAACGGAACAUUUUGGGGAAGCUGUGACCUAAAUGUAUAUUGUGUUUGUUUCAAUCAACAAUGGCACAAACCAACACUUCAAACCGUUGCUGAAUUUCUAGGUGCCUCCUUUGAUGGAGGAAUUUGCAAUUGUCGUGCGGCUAAAGGCAUAUUAUACUGUACUAAUCCCUAUUUGUUUCAAGGAAUUACUUCAAGUGCCAAAAAUUUACUUUCACGAGCAGAUGAAACAGAGUGCAAACAGCUAAUUGAAGAAGGUCUUUGUCCCUGUUCGUGUGACUACAUGGACAAAAUCGAGUACUGGAGCAAUGAAACUAACCAGCUGAGACAGUACUAUGAACUGAGUCAAAGAUUGGCUCAACUAAAGCAAUUUCUCAGACUGGACUUUAAAAAUCUUUCAUCAAAGGUAAACAAAAAGAUCAGCGCUGACGACCAGCGACCAUCAGCAACAGCUACAGGUUACAUUGGGGCUUGCAUCUUGGUUUUGGCUUUUACUGGAAUUGUUCUUAUAGACUUUCCAACACUAAUGCGUCAGACUCGAUCAAUGUUGAGAGAUAUCAGAAAGCUAAAACAAAAUAGGAAUGCUGAGCAUGAAAUUCAUCUGAAAAAAGAAACAAUAUAGUUCGCUAGAGAGAGAGACAGAGUGAGAGAGAGAUAGAGAGAAAAAGGGAUCGUGACACAUCUGAGAAGAAACAUGUGUGAACAUGUGUGUCAUUGCUUCGUCUUUCUGACAAUUUUUGUGCUAAGAUUCGAGAUUUUGUUAACACUUGAUCAUGAUCUCUGGUUCAAAAGUUUGUAUGUGAUAUGUUAUUUAUUGGAAAUAUCCAUUUUCUGUAGGGGGUUUGGGGUUGUCUAAUUAUAAUUUUUUUUUGCCAAGCGCAUUUAGAGAGAAAUUCAGUGCCUUUAUACCAUAGAAUAAGAUCAGAUAAUGUCAUAAGUAUCAAGGAGACUGAUACUGCAUUGAAUAAGAAAAGCAUUAGCAAUCUUACAACUUGUGACCACUUAAGUCUUGGACACAAAUUACUGCUUUUUAUACUGAUUUUUGACUAUGAAUACUCCGUAUACCUGAUCAAUACAAAAGACUCUCGGCGGAUGUUAUCGGUCAACAGGGGUUGCUUGCUCCUCUUAAGCACCUGAUCACACCUCUGGUGUUUCCUUUUUUUUGGCCAAUUCAUCUUUCGUAUUGUUUACCGGAUUUAUGAAAUUGAUUACAGUUCAUUAUCUUUACCUUUUUUAUAUGCUGUGUGCAUCUUUAAAAGUAAUGAACUAUUUCUGUUUCACCUACGAAAAUUUCAAAUAC